UACGUAGGUGGCAAGCGUUGUCCGGAAUUAUUGGGCGUAAAGCGCGAGCAGGCGGUUCCUUAAGUCUGAUGUGAAAGCCCCCGGCUCAACCGGGGAGGGUCAUUGGAAACUGGGGAACUUGAGUGCAGAAGAGAAGAGCGGAAUUCCACGUGUAGCGGUGAAAUGCGUAGAGAUGUGGAGGAACACCAGUGGCGAAGGCGGCUCUUUGGUCUGUAACUGACGCUGAGGCGCGAAAGCGUGGGGAGCGAACAGG
rnacentral:rRNA from 1 species